GUAGGUGGCAAGCGUUGUCCGGGAAUUAUUGGGGCGUAAAGCGCGCGCAGGCGGUUCUUUAAGUCUGAUGUGAAUGCCCACGGGCUCAACCGUGGAGGGUCAUUGGAAACUGGAGAACUUGAGUACAGAAGAGGAAAGCGGAAUUCCACGUGUAGCGGUGAAAUGCGUAGAGAUGUGGAGGAACACCAGUGGCGAAGGCGGCUUUCUGGUCUGUAACUGACGCUGAGGCGCGAAAGCGUGGGGAGCAAACAGGAUUAGAUACCCUGGUAGUCCACGCCGUAAACGAUGAGUGCUAAGUGUUAGGGGGUUUCCGCCCCUUAGUGCUGCAGCUAACGCAUUAAGCACUCCGCCUGGGGAGUACGGCCGCAAAGGCUG
rnacentral:rRNA from 1 species